AAUUCCUACGGGAGGAAGCAGUGAGGAAUAUUGGUCAAUGGGCGGGAGCCUGAACCAGCCAAGUCGCGUGAGGGAAGACGGUCCUAUGGAUUGUAAACCUCUUUAGGCGGGGAGCAAUGCCGGGCACGCGUGCCCGGAGGGAGAGUACCCGCAGAAUAAGCAUCGGCUAACUCCGUGCCAGCAGCCGCGGUAAUACGGAGGAUGCGAGCGUUAUCCGGAUUUAUUGGGUUUAAAGGGUGCGUAGGCGGAUUUUUAAGUCAGCUGGAAAAUGUCCGGGCUCAACCCGGGCCGGACGUUGAAACCGG
rnacentral:rRNA from 1 species